AGAGUUUGAUCAUGGCUCAGGACGAACGCUGGCGGCGUGCUUAACACAUGCAAGUCGAACGAUGAAGCUGGAGCUUGCUCUAGUGGAUUAGUGGCGAACGGGUGAGUAACACGUGAGCAAUCUGCCCUUGACUCUGGGAUAACUGCGGGAAACUGUAGCUAAUACCGGAUACGACACCUUGGGGCAUCCCGAGGUGUGGAAAGAAUUUCGGUCAAGGAUGAGCUCGCGGCCUAUCAGCUUGUUGGUGAGGUAAAAGCUCACCAAGGCGACGACGGGUAGCCGGCCUGAGAGGGUGACCGGCCACACUGGAACUGAGAUACGGUCCAGACUCCUACGGGAGGCAGCAGUGGGGAAUAUUGCACAAUGGGCGCAAGCCUGAUGCAGCAACGCCGCGUGAGGGAUGAAGGCCUUCGGGUUGUAAACCUCUUUUAUCAGGGAAGAAGCGAAAGUGACGGUACCUGAAGAAAAAGCACCGGCUAACUACGUGCCAGCAGCCGCGGCAAUACGUAGGGUGCAAGCGUUGUCCGGAAUUAUUGGGCGUAAAGAGCUCGUAGGCGGUUUGUCGCGUCUGCUGUGAAAAUCCAAGGCUCAACCUUGGACCUGCAGUGGGUACGGGCAGACUAGAGUGCGGUAGGGGAGAUGGGAAUUCCUGGUGUAGCGGUGGAAUGCGCAGAUAUCAGGAGGAACACCAAUGGCGAAGGCACAUCUCUGGGCCGUAACUGACGCUGAGGAGCGAAAGCGUGGGGAGCGAACAGGAUUAGAUACCCUGGUAGUCCACGCCGUAAACGGUGGGUGCUAGUUGUGGGCCACAUUCCACGUGGUCCGUGACGAAGUUAACACAUUAAGCACCCCGCCUGGGGAGUACGGUCGCAAGACUAAAACUCAAAGGAAUUGACGGGGGCCCGCACAAGCGGCGGAGCAUGCGGAUUAAUUCGAUGCAACGCGAAGAACCUUACCAAGGCUUGACAUAUAGAGGAAACGUGCAGAAAUGUACGCCCCGCAAGGUCUCUAUACAGGUGGUGCAUGGUUGUCGUCAGCUCGUGUCGUGAGAUGUUGGGUUUACGGUUACCUUGUUACGACUUCUGAGCCAUGAUC
rnacentral:rRNA from 1 species